rnacentral:rRNA from 1 species
GAACGCUGGCGGCAGGCUUAACACAUGCAAGUCGAGCGGUAACAGGGGGUGCUUGCACCCCGCUGACGAGCGGCGGACGGGUGAGUAAUGCUUAGGAAUCUGCCCAGUAGUGGGGGAUAGCCCGGGGAAACCCGGAUUAAUACCGCAUACGUCCUACGGGAGAAAGCAGGGGAUCUUCGGACCUUGCGCUAUUGGAUGAGCCUAAGUCGGAUUAGCUAGUUGGUGGGGUAAAGGCCUACCAAGGCGACGAUCCGUAGCUGGUUUGAGAGGAUGAUCAGCCACAUCGGGACUGAGACACGGCCCGAACUCCUACGGGAGGCAGCAGUGGGGAAUAUUGGACAAUGGGGGCAACCCUGAUCCAGCCAUGCCGCGUGUGUGAAGAAGGCUUUCGGGUUGUAAAGCACUUUCAGUGAGGAGGAAAACCUUACGGUUAAUAACCGUGAGGCUUGACGUUACUCACAGAAGAAGCACCGGCUAACUCCGUGCCAGCAGCCGCGGUAAUACGGAGGGUGCAAGCGUUAAUCGGAAUUACUGGGCGUAAAGCGCGCGUAGGUGGUUCGAUAAGCGGGAUGUGAAAGCCCCGGGC